CUCUGCCAAGAUAGACGAUGAGUACUUCCGGGACUUUUCUCUCUCGACCUCUCAACGACGAUCGAACACUGGUAAUCUCUCUCGACCUCUCAAUCUAUUGUUCAAAAUUAGUACACGCUUCUCUUGAGUGUCCAUAGUCUUUAAGACAAACAGAAAAGCCGAUCGAAGAUCUAAAAAAUUCGUUUUGUUUUUGUUUUCUAUUUUCUGAUCUGAAAAAUAGGGUCAAUCAGUGAAACCUAUAGCAAGCCCGGUACCCAACCCUAGCCGUCUUCAUGCUCCCGAUCGGCCUCAUCAUCAUCGCUUCUUUCUUCAUGUAAGUCAUCUCAACCCUAGCUGUUUCACAAAGACUGAUAAAUUGGGCUUGGAUGAUAAGAACUUGAUUUUAUGUUUACUGUUGGGUAUUGGCCAAACUGAAAAAUUAAAGGGCAAUUGCAAGUAGGAUUCGAUUGGGUUUUGAUGAUAAGAACUUGAUUUUAUGUUUACUGCAGGUAUUGGCCAAUCAUAUUGGUUAGGUUGUUUUUUUUUUUUUUUUUGGAAUUCACCAUAUGGGGGCUAAUGCUUCAUAUUUGUCUGAUUCUGCCUUAAUAAGUGGGUUUUUCAAUUUUUGGUUUAAUGAAUUGUUUCCAUGUUUGCGCUCUGUUAAUGAAGCAAAACUGUAGAAAUUGUUUUACUUUGUGAGAAUGACUAUUGUUAUAGUUUGGGGUAAACGGAUAUGUGGCUAUUACAGUUAAUGGGGAAAGACUAAUGCUACUUUGGCUUAGAUUAGGUGAGGGCCUUAGCUAGGAAAUGAAAAAAUAAAGCGUGAAUGCAAUAAAUUUUUAUUUAGUAAUUUAUUUCUUACAGUCCAAGAGUGACAUUAAUUUGGGAUACGAAUCACUUUACAAGUAGAGUUCCAAAAUUCCCUCUUACCAUUUAUUUCUGAUAUCAUCUACGGGUAACACGUCUUGAUACAAAGCUAAAAUUCAAUCUGAGAGGGGUAACAUGGAAAGAGUGGAAGUGUUUUUAAUUUGGUGGAUGAUCAGUGUUCCACCACCGAUCUUUCUUGCAAAGCUCCUAUUCUUUUGGGACUAUGGCGGUAUAAUCAGAGAUCCAUUUAGGAGGUGAUGAUUGUGCUUUUUGAGGGCGCCCUCAGAGUUGAACGAGAAGUAUUCUUGGUUGUGUUUUGUCGUGUUUCUAAACAUAUUUUUUUAAUACAAAAAUCAAAUGAUUCUCUUUAAUCCUGUUACACCAACGUUUAGAUUCGAUAUGUAGGUAACCAGAGAUGGAAAGUGGUGGUGAAGGUCAUAUACUGUUGGCUAUUCUCUUCCUAAUCGUUUGGAUCUUCCGAAUGACUUCUAUUCUAUCCUUAUUUCCUGAAUGAAUGACUUCCAUUCCAUCUUUUUUGUUGGUCGUUGUUAAGUGUUACAUCAACUAUGCUGACUUCGAAUUUUGGUUGGAAGGCCUCUAUUAUGUACUGAAUUUAAUUUAAUAAUCUUAAGUGAUAUUGAAAACUCUUUUGAUUAACUUAGUGCAUGCUUUGUGAUUUUGAGCGUAGGCGAUUUUUUUAUUGUGAGUCCAUUAAACUUUUGUAUUAGGUUAGUACUUUUGAAUAAGUGCCUUCAUGAUUAGCAAAAAAAUAAAAUAAAUGCCUUCGGGCACAUGCUUAUUUGUUGCGAAUGUGUUGCAUCAUGCCUUCAAGCACUGGCAUAGUCGCUAGAUUAGAGUUCUUUCCACGUCUUCUUGACCUAGGUGUUAUUGCAUUAGUCAGGUUAUUUGAGGAUAGGAGCAUUGCGGAUAAACUGUAGUGAUAGUAAAGGUUUUUGUCAGA